GCCCGCCGCUGCCUUGGCUACCAGGCUGCUGGGGAGGCUACGCCCGGAGUCGCGCUACGGAGGCCGGGUUGCCAGGUUACGGGAAAAUUUGAAGAAGCUUGUGGAGUAAUAUGAGUCAGACUAAUCUAGGAUCUGCAGGAAGUCCCUCAUGAUAGUUGUCUUAGGAAAAGAAGAAUUUAUAGACUCUUCAUCAGAUUCUCAUUUGCACGGCUGUUAAAUGCAAGGCUACUGUGGUGAAACCAUGAAUAAAAAUUCAUCUGUUGCAGUACCAUCCGGUCUACUUGAAAAGUAAUUGUUAAAUUAAAUUUAGUAUGUUUUGAACUAUCAUAGUUUUAAAUCUGUCAAAUAUUCGUGAGUGUCUGGUGGAAAGUGUUAUACAGUUAACAACCUGUGGUCUAGGAUAGCAGUAAUGAGAAGUUGAUCAAUAAUCACCUUUUAGUGUAAAUCAGUGUAAAGGGCAAAUUCUGCAUUCUCUUUUAGAAUUAUUUUUCGAGAUUGCUUUAUA